GCCGUGGUGGUGACUGAUGGGGAGCGCAUCCUGGGCCUGGGAGACCUGGGCUGCUACGGCAUGGGCAUCCCUGUGGGCAAGCUGGCCCUGUACACGGCAUGCGGAGGGGUGAACCCGCAGCAGUGCCUCCCUGUGCUGCUGGACGUCGGCACCAACAAUGAGCAGCAGUUCAGAUGGAGAUGAAGACAACACAAAAUCCUGUUCUCUAGGAACUUAUAUUUUUGGAGCUGCUCAGAGACCCUCUGUACAUCGGCCUGAAACACCAGCGCGUGCGCGGGAAGGCAUACGAUGACUUGCUGGAUGAGUUCAUGCAGGCUGUGACAGACAAGUUUGGAAUAAAUUGCCUCAUCCAAUUUGAAGACUUCGCCAAUGCCAAUGCCUUCCGCCUGCUCAACAAAUACCGUAACAAGUACUGCAUGUUCAAUGAUGACAUCCAAGGAACAACCAGCCACACUUUCAGCUGCCCAUGGCAUUUAUGGGCACAAGUCAUGUUCCAGCCCAUCCCUGGACCCAUGGGCUUCUCAGAGUGGUUACCUUGAAACAGCUAAGUAGCUUCCUUUCCAGUUUUAAACCCCUAGUGCAUAGCCCAAGAGCACCCCAAAAAUGCAAGUUAAUGAUG
rnacentral:sRNA from 1 species